rnacentral:rRNA from 1 species
CUUGAGUAUUCUCAGGCGCUUGAGAGAACUCGGGAGAAGGAACUCGGCAAAUUGACACCGUAACUUCGGAAGAAGGUGUGCCUUUAGUAGGUGAACCCGUACAGGGGGAGCCCAAUGAGGUUGCAAAGAAUCGGUGGCUGCGACUGUUUAAUAAAAACACAGCACUCUGCAAACACGAAAGUGGACGUAUAGGGUGUCACGCCUGCCCGGUGCUGGAAGAUUAAGUGAUGGGGUGCAAGCUCUUGAUCGAAGUCCCAGUAAACGGCGGCCGUAACAAUAACGGUCCUAAGGUAGCGAAAUUCCUUGUCGGGUAAGUUCCGACCUGCACGAAUGGCGUAACGAUGGCCACACUGUCUCCUCCCGAGACUCAGCGAAGUUGAAAUGUUUGUGAUGAUGCAAUCUCCCCGCGGAAAGACGGAAAGACCCCAUGAACCUUUACUGUAGCUUUGUAUUGGACUUUGAACGGAUCUGUGUAGGAUAGGUGGGAGGCUUUGAAGCAGGGUCGCUAGAUCUUGUGGAGCCAACGUUGAAAUACCACCCUGGUGCGUUUGAGGUUCUAACCUAGGCCCGUUAUCCGGGUCGGGGACAGUGCAUGGUAGGCAGUUUGACUGGGGCGGUCUCCUCCCAAAGCGUAACGGAGGAGUUCGAAGGUACGCUAGUUACGGUCGGACAUCGUGACGAUAGUGCAAUGGCAUAAGCGUGCUUAACUGCGAGACUGACAAGUCGAGCAGAUGCGAAAGCAGGACAUAGUGAUCCGGUGGUUCUGUAUGGAAGGGCCAUCGCUCAACGGAUAAAAGGUACUCUGGGGAUAACAGGCUGAUACCGCCCAAGAGUUCAUAUCGACGGCGGUGUUUGGCACCUCGAUGUCGGCUCAUCUCAUCCUGGGGCUGUAGCCGGUCCCAAGGGUAUGGCUGUUCGCCAUUUAAAGAGGUACGUGAGCUGGGUUUAAAACGUCGUGAGACAGUUUGGUCCCUAUCUUCCGUGGGCGCUGCAGAUUUGAGGAAGCCUGCUCCUAGUACGAGAGGACCGGAGUGGACGCACCUCUGGUGUACCUGUUGUCACGCCAGUGGCAUUGCAGGGUAGCUAAGUGCGGAAGAGAUAACCGCUGAAAGCAUCUAAGCGGGAAACUCGUUUCAAGAUGAGAUCUGCCGGGGCCUUGAGCCCCCUGAAGAGUCGUUCUAGACCAGGACGUUGAUAGGCUGGGUGUGGAAGCGCAGUAAUGCGUUAAGCUAACCAGUACUAAUUGCUCGUGCGGCUUGACCCU